rnacentral:rRNA from 1 species
AGAACGAACGCUGGCGGCAUGCCUAACACAUGCAAGUCGAACGAGACCUUCGGGUCUAGUGGCGCACGGGUGCGUAACGCGUGGGAAUCUGCCCUGGGGUGCGGAAUAACUCGGAGAAAUCCGUGCUAAUACCGCAUAAUGUCUUCGGACCAAAGAUUUAUCGCCCUGGGAUGAGCCCGCGUAGGAUUAGCUAGUUGGUGGGGUAAAGGCCUACCAAGGCGACGAUCCUUAGCUGGUCUGAGAGGAUGAUCAGCCACACUGGGACUGAGACACGGCCCAGACUCCUACGGGAGGCAGCAGUGGGGAAUAUUGGACAAUGGGCGAAAGCCUGAUCCAGCAAUGCCGCGUGAGUGAUGAAGGCCCUAGGGUUGUAAAGCUCUUUUACCCGGGAUGAUAAUGACAGUACCGGGAGAAUAAGCUCCGGCUAACUCCGUG